rnacentral:lncRNA from 1 species
AUGUCUGGGUUCAAGUCUCCAGAGACACUUUGGCCUGUGGUGGGUUCUCAGUAUACACCAGGGGAUUUAAUUUUCUUACAUUGGUCCUUCUCACCAGUCUUCCCAGCUCAGCAGAGCCAGGCCUGUCUCCAUGAAGAACCCGAGCCUGGAGCGGAGGAGACUCAUUGGUGUCAGCAGCAGUGCCAGGAGGCAACCCUCGGUCUCUCAGUUUUCCACAGAUCUAGAUACCCGUGGGCUGCUUGGAGUCUCCAUGAGUCUGCAUCAAGUUCUGUCUACUGUUCUUCCUCCACCAAGAAGUCUUCCCUGAUUGAGCCCUUGACAUCUGGUGGCUGUCUCUUUCUCUGCCCAGUCCUGACACUGAGUAGCUCCUUAGUCUCAUUUCCCUAACUGUCUCCUGUAAUGGGCUGGAUUGUGUCUCUCCCACCUUGCAAUUCAUAUGUUGAAGUCUCAAGUCCUCGGUACUGCAGAAUGUGAUUAGAUUUGGAGACAGGGUCGUUAAGAGGUGGUUAAGGCAAAAUGAGGUCAUGUGGGUGUCCUUAAUCCAAUAUGACUGGUGUCCUUGUAAGAAGAGACUAGGACAGGGACAUUCACAGAAGGAAGACCACGUGGAGACACAGGGAGGAAACAGUCACCUAUCAGUCAAGGAAAUAGGACUUAGAAGAAACCAAACCAGCUGACACCUUAAUCUUGGACUUCUAGCUUCCACAACUGUGACAUAAAGAAUUUCUGCUCUUGGGCUUCCCUGGUGGUCCAGUGGCUAGGAAUCCACCUGUCAGUGCAGGGUACAUGGGUUUGAUUCCUGGUCUGGAAAGAUUCCACAUGCCAAAAAGCAAUUAAGCCUGUGUGCCACGACUGUGAACCUGCAUUUUAGAGCCUCGGAGCCGCAACCCCUGAGCCCACACACCUAGACCUUGUGUUCUGCAGCAAGAGAAGCGACAGCAAUGAGAAGCCCUGCAGCAAAGAGUAGUCCCUGCUUGAUGCAACUAGAGGAAGCCCGUGCACA